rnacentral:rRNA from 1 species
UACGUAGGGUGCAAGCGUUUGUCCGGAAUUAUUGGGCGUAAAGAGCUCGUAGGCGGUUUGUUGCGUCGGCUGUGAAAUCCCGAGGCUCAACCUCGGGUCUGCAGUCGAUACGAGCAAACUAGAGUGUUGCAGGGGAGACUGGAAUUCCUGGUGUAGCGGUGAAAUGCGCAGAUAGUCAGGAGGAACACCGGUGGCGAAGGCGGGGUCUCUGGGCAACAACUGACGCUGGAGGAGCGAAAGCGUGGGGAGCGAACAGG